rnacentral:rRNA from 1 species
AGCCUAAAGAUUUUUAUUUUAGGUAAAUUCUGCUCAAUGAAUAUUAUUUAAAUAGCCGCAGUAAACUGACUGUGCAAAGGUAGCAUAAUAAAUUGGUCUUUAAUUGUGAUCUUGUAUGAAUGGAAAAAUAUAUAUUGUCUGUCUUAUUUUAUAAUAAAUAAAAAUUACUAAAAAGGUGAAAAUUCCUUUAACUAUAGUUGAAAGACGAGAAGACCCUUAGAAUUUUAAUUAGUAUUUAUAUAAUUUAUUUAUAAUUAUAUAUUUGUUGGGGCGACAGAUUACUCAUCUAAACAUAAUUUUAAUUUUUAACAAGGCAAAUUAUACUCAGAAUGUUUAAAUUACCUAAGGGAUAACAGCAUUAUAUUAUUUUUUAUGUUUAUGACCUCGAUGUUGGACUAGGAAAACACAUGGCAAGCAGUCAUUAUUUAAGGUUCUGUUCGAACUAUUUCUCCU